rnacentral:rRNA from 1 species
GUGGGGAAUAUUGGGCAAUGGGCGAAAGCCUGACCCAGCAACGCCGCGUGAGGGAAGAAGGCCUUCGGGUUGUAAACCUCUGUCCUUGGUGACGAAAAAAAUGACGGUAGCCAAGGAGGAAGCCCCGGCUAACUACGUGCCAGCAGCCGCGGUAAUACGUAGGGGGCGAGCGUUGUCCGGAAUUACUGGGCGUAAAGGGUGCGUAGGUGGCCUUUUAAGUUGGAUGUGAAAUACCCGGGCUUAACUUGGGGGGUGCAUCUAAUACUGGAGGGCUAGAGUGCAGGAGAGGGAAGCGGAAUUCCUAGUGUAGCGGUGAAAUGCGUAGAUAUUAGGAGGAACACCAGUGGCGAAGGCGGCUUUCUGGACUGUAACUGACACUGAGGCACGAAAGCGUGGGGAGCAAACAGGAUUAGAUACCCUGGUAGUCC